rnacentral:rRNA from 1 species
CCUACGGGCGGCAGCAGUGGGGGAUAUUGCACAAUGGGGGAAACCCUGAUGCAGCGACGCCGCGUGGGUGAAGAAGCGCCUCGGCGCGUAAAGCCCUGUCAGCAGGGAAGAAAAUGACGGUACCUGAAGAAGAAGCCCCGGCUAACUACGUGCCAGCAGCCGCGGUAAUACGUAGGGGGCAAGCGUUAUCCGGAUUUACUGGGUGUAAAGGGGGCGCAGACGGCGAUGCAAGCCAGGAGUGAAAGCCCGGGGCCCAACCCCGGGACUGCUCGUGGAACUGCGUGGCUAGAGUGCAGGAGGGGCAGGCGGAAUUCCUGGUGUAGCGGAGAAAUGCGUAGAUAUCAGGAGGAACACCGGUGGCGAAGGCGGCCUGCUGGACUGCAACUGACGUUGAGGCCCGAAAGCGUGGGGAGCAAACAGGAUUAGAUACCCCAGUAGUC